rnacentral:sRNA from 1 species
CAGUGGCAGCAGCAGCCAUGGGGAAGCCGGGCGUGGAGGCAGCACCGGGCUCGGAGCUGGCCAGGGUUCCCUAGCCUAUGGAGCACGCAGCCACCACAGGCCCCAGGCCUGGACCUCCCUCUCGGCGGGUGGAGAAUGUUGUGCUACGAGCCAAGGACUGGCUGCCAGGAGCUCCUGGGGGCACCGCAGUGUGGGCCACCAGCUUGGAAGCAGAGGUCCCACCAGAUCUAGCGCUCAAUAAGGAGCAGCAGCUGCAGAUCUCCAAGGAGCUGGUCGACAUUCAGAUCACAACCCACCACCUACAUGAGCAGCACGAGGCUGAAAUCUUCCAGCUGAAGAGUGAGAUCCUUCGGCUGGAGAGCCGGGUACUGGAGCUGGAGCUGCGAGGAGAUGGCACCAGCCAGGGCUGUGCAGUCCCAGUGGAGUCUGACCCCAGGCACCCCCGGGCAGCAGCCCAAGAGCUCAGACACAAAGCCCAGGUGCCUGGACACUCUGAUGACCACAGAUUCCAGGUGCAGCCCAAGAACACCAUGAAUCCCGAGAAUGAGCAGCACAGGCUGGGGAGCGGCGUGAGUGUGCAGCCACCUAGCUCAGGGGAGAGGGCAGCACCAGAGACCCCAAGCCUAGGGUCUCAUCUAGCCAGCCCUGUGUGCCCCACAGCUGCAGGGGGAAGUGAAGCGGGUGCUGGAGCGUCAGGAGGCCUGGCAGCAGGCACUGGUGACGCGUGUGGCAACCCUGGGCCGGCAGCUGCAGGGAGCCCGAGAGGAGGCCAGGGCAGCCGGGCAGCGACUGGCCACACAGGCUGUGGUGCUGUGCAGCUGCCAAGGCCAGCUCCGUCAGGCAGAGGCCGAAAAUGCCCGGCUGCAGCUGCAGCUCAAGAAACUGAAGGAUGAGUACGUCCUACGGCUUCAGCACUGCGCCCGGCAGGCAGUGGUGAGCCCUGCAGGAGCACCCUGAGGCCUAGGGAGCCCAAGCCUGGCCUGGGUGUGCUGGAUAGCUUCAGGGAGACCCCAGGGCCCCAGCACUGCUCAGCCUGCUGGGGUGGGGGGAUGGUUGGAAAAGAU